rnacentral:rRNA from 1 species
AGAGUUUGAUCAUGGCUCAGAUUGAACGCUGGCGGUAUGCUUAACACAUGCAAGUCGAACGGUAACAGGCCUUCGGGCGCUGACGAGUGGCGGACGGGUGAGUAACGCGUAGGAAUCUGCCUCAUAGUGGGGGACAACGUGGGGAAACUCACGCUAAUACCGCAUACGCCCUACGGGGGAAAGCGGGGGAUCUUCGGACCUCGCGCUAUGAGAUGAGCCUGCGUUAGAUUAGCUAGUUGGUAGGGUAAAGGCCUACCAAGGCGACGAUCUAUAGCUGGUCCGAGAGGACGAUCAGCCACACUGGGACUGAGACACGGCCCAGACUCCUACGGGAGGCAGCAGUGGGGAAUAUUGGACAAUGGGCGCAAGCCUGAUCCAGCAAUACCGCGUGUGUGAAGAAGGCCUUAGGGUUGUAAAGCACUUUCAAUUGGGAGGAAAACCUGCCGGUCAAUACCCGGUAGCUUGACAUUACCUUUAGAAGAAGCACCGGCUAACUCCGUG